CGGUGAAUACGUUCCCGGACCUUGCACACACCGCCCGUCAAGCCAUGGAAGUUGGGUGUACCUUAAGACGAUAACCGUAAGGAGUUGUCCAAGGUAAAACCAGUAACUGGGGCUAAGUCGUAACAAGGUACCC
rnacentral:rRNA from 1 species